UGUUAAAAUUUUUAUCCAUUUGUAUUGUUAAAAACUAAUGUAAUUGAUAGAAUAAUCAGAAAGUGGUAUGUGGCAUAUCAUAUAUAUCUCAUGUUGAUGUAUGGAGACUAGUUUUUAACAGUAAAAAUGGAUGGAUUUUAAUG
rfam:Gossypium hirsutum cultivar TM-1 chromosome 16, whole genome shotgun sequence